GCUCAGGAUGAACGCUGGCGGCGUGCCUAAUACAUGCAAGUCGAGCGAAUGGAUUAAGAGCUUGCUCUUAUGAAGUUAGCGGCGGACGGGUGAGUAACACGUGGGUAACCUGCCCAUAAGACUGGGAUAACUCCGGGAAACCGGGGCUAAUACCGGAUAACAUUUUGCACCGCAUGGUGCGAAAUUCAAAGGCGGCUUCGGCUGUCACUUAUGGAUGGACCCGCGUCGCAUUAGCUAGUUGGUGAGGUAACGGCUCACCAAGGCAACGAUGCGUAGCCGACCUGAGAGGGUGAUCGGCCACACUGGGACUGAGACACGGCCCAGACUCCUACGGGAGGCAGCAGUAGGGAAUCUUCCGCAAUGGACGAAAGUCUGACGGAGCAACGCCGCGUGAGUGAUGAAGGCUUUCGGGUCGUAAAACUCUGUUGUUAGGGAAGAACAAGUGCUAGUUGAAUAAGCUGGCACCUUGACGGUACCUAACCAGAAAGCCACGGCUAACUACGUGCCAGCA
rnacentral:rRNA from 1 species